GUCCUGGAGGAUUAUUCUCUGCCCAUACUCCUGGAAUGUCAAAUAAAGAUCCAUCACUCUUAGGGUUUGCAUUUGUUAUUACAGAGUAGAAGCUUCAUUCUUCUUCUUUUGGUACCAAUACUGCUAUCAUGCCUGGUGAUUUAUUAAACUUCAGAGACGUUGAUCCAUUAGGUAGAAAAGUUAUCUGAGCUUGAAGCUUUGAUAAUAGAUCUCGU